rnacentral:rRNA from 1 species
AUGAGUUGUUUCCAGCUCACGAAGAAGAUAUGCCAGAACCUGACAUCAAUCUCUUCUAAAUUCUGGUGGGCAGCAACAAGUGGUGAACAAAAGGUACACUGGAUCUCUUGGCAGAAAAUAUGCGCUUCGAAAAGGAAUGGUGGCAUGGUUUUUCGUGACUCAGAGGCCUUCAACCAAGCUUUGUUAGCAAAGCAGGCAUGAAAAAUCCUGCAAGACCCGACUUCCCUGUGUGCAUGUGUUCUCAAGGCACGCUAUUUUUGUGCGGACUCGAUCAUGUCAGCUACAGCCCCAGCGUCGGCCUCGUACACUUUCAGAAGCAUUUUAUGGGGAAGAGACAUGCUACGGGAGCGACUGAUUGGCGUAUGGGUAGUGGGUGUGCUGUGA